rnacentral:rRNA from 1 species
AGGAUGCCUAGUUACGGCGAGUGAAGCGGCAACAGCUCAAAUUUGAAAUCUGGCCCCUAGGGCCCGAGUUGUAAUUUGCAGAGGAUGCUUUUGGUGAGGCGCCGGCCGAGUUCCCUGGAACGGGACGCCACAGAGGGUGAGAGCCCCGUCUGCCUGGACGCCGAACCUAUGUAAAGCUCCUUCUACGAGUCGAGUAGUUUGGGAAUGCUGCUCUAAAUGGGAGGUAUAUGUCUUCUAAAGCUAAAUAUYGGCCAGAGACCGAUAGCGCAGAAGUAUAGUGAUCGAAAGAUGAAAAGCACUUUGAAAAGAGGGUUAAAUAGUACGUGAAAUUGUUGAAAGGGAAGCGCUCAUGACCAGACUUGGGCUUGGCGGAUCAUCCGGCGUUCUCGCCGGUGCACUCUGCCUCGUCCAGGCCAGCAUCAGUUCGCCGCGGGGGAUAAAGGCGUCGGGAAUGUGGCUCCCACGGGAGUGUUAUAGCCCUUCGCAUAAUACCCUGAGGUGGACUGAGGUUCGCGCUCCGCAAGGAUGCUGGCGUAAUGGUCAUCAGCGACCCGUCUUGAAACACGGACCAAGGAGUCGUCUUCGUAUGCGAGUGUUCGGGUGUCAAACCCCUACGCGUAAUGAAAGUGAACGCAGGUGAGAGCUUCGGCGCAUCAUCGACCGAUCCUGAUGUUCUCGGAUGGAUUUGAGUAAGAGCAUACGGGGCCGGACCCGAAAGAAGGUGAACCUAUGCCUGUAUAGGGUGAAGCCAGAGGAAACUCUGGUGGAGGCUCGCAGCGGUUCUGACGUGCAAAUCGAUCGUCAAAUAUGGGCAUGGGGGCGAAAGACUAUCAGCUC